GAUGGAUAUCUGGAUACCUUCAAGCAGCUGCUUGAAACACAAACCUCAAUGAAGCUAAGUUUUGACAUGAAGGAGGGGAGGGAAUUUCCUGAGCACCUAUCUAAAGAGAUUUCUGGGGGGAAGAAAUGUACAUUGGGGUAUAGGGAGGCUUAACACUCCUUGGAGGUGCAGAAAUGGACAGUGACAAAUGUCACUGAGAAAGUUGUUCAUACAAGGUAAUGACCAUCAUAUAAGUUUCUUCUAUACUUCAAAAAUAUUCAAGGAAAAUAGAACUCUCUUCUCCAAGGCCUUUCCUCUUUUUUCACUUAAAAUUUCUUUAAAAACCAACAAAAUCCCACUACAUGUUCCCCAGCUUCCCUUCUGAUAAUUAACUUAAGCAUACAUCUACAUGAUAUAUAUGUUUAGUAGUUGGGUUGAUCACCUGAGUCAUGAAUCCUUAACAGAGGUUGUCUAUGAAUCUCAUUGUUUGGUUUGGACGAUGAUGAAGAAAGAAACCUAUCCUGACUAAUUUGCCAUUCAAGAACCAAGUGCAUUUGGAUAGGUCCAAUAUUGGAAAUUCAGUAGGUUCAUGAAAGAUAAUCCUCUACUUCUGAUUUGGAUAAUGAGAUAUCCUCCUCUUGUUCACUUGCUCAGUAAGAGAAAAUGAAAAAGAGUUGCAUCUUGUCAGGUCUUUGGAACUGGAGGUAGUGCAUCAAAUAACUGAGGUCACAUUUGGACCCAACUCCAGUUCCCAAACAUAACUCAAAUAUUACUGAAAUUGAUCAUGACUUUAUACUUUGCCCAGUUUGAACUCAGAACUUUGUUGAACCUAAUUUUAUGUGUAGGUUGCCUUUACACGGAAGGGGCAAAUUUUUAUAUUAGCCUACUCUUCCUCAGCUCUUCCUUCUAAAUCCUUUAUUUCAGUCACUCAGUGUUAUCAUUUUCUUCCGUCAAAAAGUUCUUGUUUAUCAUUCCUGUCAUACUUCUAAUCUAAAAUUGUAUCUCUCAACCAGAAUUAUCUUGACAAGUUCCUAAUGAUAUCGCAUUUAUAAUCUCUUCUCUGUAUUAGUCAUCCUAAGCAGUAUCACAGUAUUUAUUAUCCUAAAACACUAUUUUAAUUAGUUCACUUCUUGCUUUAAAUCUUCUAGAAUCUUCUCGUUCUUAAUUUUGAAACUCAUUCUCUUAGCAAUCAGGAGUUGUGAAAAAUCUAUGUUCAACUUCACUAAUCCAAACAUUACCUGCAACUCCUCAACAUUAACCCUAAUCCAAAAUAUAAGCUUUUCACAUGAUAGUCACCUACCUGAAACAUCCUUCGUUUGCCCCUAAUCAAAUCCAUUUAUACACUAUUCAAACAUAAGUGAUUUCCCUGGCCCCACUCGAAUUCAUCUUCCAUUUCCCUCCCCUCAUCCUUUCUUCCAAAAACGAUUUCUAUUUCUAUACACCCCAUAGGAAUUCUUGUUAAUUCCACAUAUUUUGUUAUUUCCCAAUUGGUUUGCAUUGUAUGUGUUCUAUAUGUUUAACUUUGUCUCUAUAAUUCCCCAAGGGCAAAUAUCCUAGACAAAGAAAGUAUUUCAAAAUUUUCUUCUUAAUAAUGCCAGUUUAUCACCUCUACACUAGGUGUCAGUUGUACAGAUCUAACCAUCUGACCUGAACUCUUUUUAUAAGAAGUCUCAUAUAGUUCAAUAUAUGACAGAAAUAUUUAUUAAUAUUUCCUCAUUGUUUGACUUAACUUUGCUCCAACAAUUCUAAUGAAACCACAUUCUCCCUUCCUAAUUAGAUACAAUCUUUUUAAAAUAUCUAUUUAAAGAGUUAAUUUAUUUAUUUGAGAGAGCAGGGAGAGAGAGCACACAAGCAAUGAGGAGGGGCAGAGAGAGAGAAGGAGAGCAGACUUCUCACUGAACAGGGAGCCCAACUUGGAACUUGAUCCCAGGACCCUGAGACCAUGACCUGAGCUGAGGGCAGAUGCUUAACCAAAUAAGCCAUCCAGGUGCCCUUAAUUAGAUAUAAUCUAAUUUGGUAUCACUUAAACCUCACACUACAAUCGUUCACACUUUUUCUCCUGCUUGCAUCUAAGACAUGUCAUCAUUCUUUAAUUUAUUCAUCCAACAUACUAACUACCAUAAUCCAGAUACUCUUAAUGAACAGAUAGGACAAAGUUUCUGACCUCAUGGAACUUGUGUUCCACCCUCAAAAAGGAAAAAGAUGAUGCUUCUAUGUAAACAGGACCUACCAAAUUCACUCCUUCCCUUGGUGUCUAGAACCCUUCUUUAAGUAUGACCUUUUUUGGACAAUAAAAAUACAUAUAAUUACAUUGAUGAGGUAUGUCCAAGAAACAGAGAAAGCACUAAAAGAACUUCCAAUGGCCAAAGUUGGAACAAUUUGGAUAAGAAAAUAAAUAGAAGGGAGGAGGGGCAAGAUGGCGGGAGAGUAGGGUCCCCAAGUCACCUGUCCCCGCCAAAUUACCUAGAUAACCUUCAAAUCAUUCUGAAAAUCUAC
rnacentral:lncRNA from 1 species